rnacentral:rRNA from 1 species
UCAGACGAUGCGUCAUGCAUAUCAAUAAGCGGAGGAAAAGAAACUAACAAGGAUUCCCCUAGUAACGGCGAGUGAAGCGGGAAGAGCUCAAAUUUGAAAUCUUAAAGGGUUUCCCUUUACGAAUUGUAGUUUAAAGAAGUGUUUUCUGUUGAGGUUUUGGUAAAAGUUCUUUGGAAUAGGACAUCAUAGAGGGUGAGAAUCCCGUAUUUGACCUUUACUUUCAACUUUGUGAUACACUUUCAAAGAGUCGGAUUGUUUGGGAAUGCAGUCCAAAAUGGGUGGUAAAUCUCAUCUAAAGCUAAAUAUUGGCGAGAGACCGAUAGCGAACAAGUACCGUGAGGGAAAGAUGAAAAGAACUUUGAAAAGAGAGUUAAACAGUACGUGAAAUUGUCAAAAGGGAAGCGUUUGACACCAGUGUUGUUUUUCUGAAAAUCAAUUAAAGAACUGUUUAUGCUAAGUUGUUUAGACUUUAUCAGCUAUCUGUUUAGUUUUGAGCUUUUCUUUAAUGCACUUUUCAGUUAACAAGUCAACAUCAAUUUCUUUUGCUGUAAAAAAGCUUGAGGAAGGUGGCUUGAGAUUCGUCUUAAGUGUUUAUAGCCUCUUGCCUAUGCAGUCGGAGAGAUUGAGGUCUGCAGCGUAGAUCCUUCGGGGCUAAAUGCAUUUGUGCUAAGUUAUAGCAUUUUAUAGACAACUUGUUGACUAUGAUUUGUCUUGUAGCUUACUCGCUUAUGUUAUUUUACCUACGCUUAGGAUGUUGAAUCUGUGCGAGACUAC